AUAAGAAGAAAGGAGGAGAGGCCUUCGCCCCCUCUUUCGUUCCGGUGGCUUGGGGGUGUGGGUUUUCCCUGCUGUUGAGUCUGUCGCGUUUGGGGAGUGAGGCCUGGUAAGGCCUUGUCGACCUUGGGAGACGGAGGUUGCCGGCGAUCGUUCCAUCGUGACAUUCUGUUGUCCCGAGGAGAGUAGCUACUGAGGAGGGAAAAAAAAAAGGUAGUUCAGCAGGAAGUUGCAGAGGCUAAAGAAAUGAAGACUCUGAAAUCGAUCCUGCUCCUGUCCUACAAAGCACAAUUUCUGCCAGAAGCAUCAAGCAGAGCAGGACCGUCCCCUUGACUUGGAGCUGUUUUCUUAUAAGGCAUCUGAGAUUUUAUAUGAACUAGAUUUGGAGAUUGAGAACUACAGAUCUGUAUUUUCAUCUCGGAAAAGUUCUACUUGAAAAGAUUCCUCCCUGCUAGACUGCAUGAUGGUUUACUAACAGACCUGCUUGGAUAAGGAUACACAGGAAUUCACUUCAGAAGCUGCAGGAGGUUUUACCACCAUUUUUAUUGCUCUUGCUUGCUCUGAUCCAAAGCUGACAAAAACCCAUUAAGAGAUUGAAACAAAGUGUGUGGAACCAGCAUGAGCAAGAAAUGUCCUAAUUGAGUACUGGACCUGGCAUCCAGGCAACCUUUGCAACAGACUACCAGUCUCCUCUCAAAGAAUACCUUCUCUGCACUUCCAGAAGGCAGUUCUGCUCUGGAUCAGAUGAGGGACAAAAAUCUCAUUAUUUCAUUCCCUGGAUUUAAACUCCUGUGAAUUGACCAUCAGUAGUGUAGUGCAAACAAACUUUCCCAGAGAUCUAACCCCUCGGUAUAGUACUACAGCGAUAAGUAUUAAAAUGAGGAGACAAAAAUCCUGAAACAUUGGUUUUUUUUGAGAUUUAUGUGCAGUGUAAAGUCAUGCAACAGAAUACAAUAAA